rnacentral:rRNA from 1 species
UACGUAGGGUGCGAGCGUUAAUCGGAAUUACUGGGCGUAAAGCGUGCGCAGGCGGCUUUGCAAGACAGAUGUGAAAUCCCCGGGCUUAACCUGGGAACUGCAUUUGUGACUGCAUGGCUGGAGUGCGGCAGAGGGGGAUGGAAUUCCGCGUGUAGCAGUGAAAUGCGCAGAUAUCAGGAGGAACACCAAUGGCGAAGGCAGCUCGCUGGGACGGUACUGACGCUGAGACGCGAAAGCGUGGGGAGCAAACAGG